rnacentral:tRNA from 1 species
GGAGGGGUGGCUGAGUGGCCGAAGGCGCCGCACUCGAAAUGCGGUAAGGGAGCAAUCCCUUCGUGAGUUCGAAUCUCACCCCCUCCG